AGGAGACCCUGACUGGGGAUCAUGUUCGGACCCCCAGGCCAGCCCACUGCUGCUCCUUGGCACUUUCACGGCCCUGGCGUGUCCCCGUCAUAGUCCUUAUCAGUCCCUUGUAUUUACCUGGUCACCCUCCAUCUCUGAGGGUAUGGGGGCCAGAUGGCUCUUGCUGCCCUGAUGUUUUGGGGGGUCUGCCUGGGCCCCUCCUGGUGUGUCACACGCGUCCAGUCCUGGCCCCCUAGGAGGCAGCAUGGCGGGAGCUGGAGGCCGAGCGGGCCCAGCUGCAGAGUCAGCUGCAGCGUGAGCAGGAGGAGCUGCUGGCCCGGCGGAAGGCUGAGAAGGAACAGCUGAGUGAGGAGAUUGCUGCCCUGCAGCAGGAGCAUGACGAGGGCCUCCUCCUGGCCGAGAGCGAGAAGCAGCAGGCCUUGUCUCUGAAGGAGUCUGAGAAGAUGGCGCUGUCAGAGAAGUUGAUGGGUACACGGCACAGCCUGGCCACCAUCUCCCUGGAGAUGGAGCGGCAGAAACCAGAUGCCCAGAGCCGGCAGGAGCAGGACCGGGUAGGCCUGCCGUCGUAGGGAGGCUUGCGGAGCAGGAGCGCCCUCUCUCCACCGAGCUAUCCCGCGGUUUCCAGCAUCCCAUCUGGCGGACUCCUCUUCCUCUCUCUUCUCCUACUCUGGGUCUUCUAUCCUGGUGUUCCUUGAAUGCCUAUCUUCCUUUUGUGCCUCGGAACCUCUCACGCCUGCCACAAGUUACUCUUUUCCUUGGUAGUUCUGAACUUUAAAUAAGGUAAUGCCUGUAAGAAUGCCAUAAAUGCUCAAUAAUUGUCAUCUGUUAUUAUUUUCAUCAGUAACAUCAUCUGAAUCAUCAGUAUUGUCUGCUUUUAACAGCUGCAUUUUUCAUUGUCCAAAUAUAGUCACAUACAUUUGACCAUUUUAUAAUUAUUGAAUAAUAAAUUCGUUCUGCUAUUUUACAAUGAAAAAUAAUGCUGCAGAGAGCAUUUUUGCACAUGUAUCGUGGCAGAUGUAGGCCAGAGGCUCUUCUUUUAUCCAUCCUAUGGCCAACCUAUGAAUGUAUACACGUUUAAUGAGAUUUUGCCAGCAAUCAAAGCCUUCAGGGAAAAUGUCCCUAGCUCUUUACUACAUCAGAUCAAGGACUCUGGAUAAUUGGCAUAACAUCCUGGAAUAGCUGAAACAGAGAUAUUAUUCUCUGCUGUCCUCUGUUGUCUUUGUCUUUUCACGUCUUAAUAAAAGUGCUGGUGACAAGAGUGUAA